AUCUCUCUUCCUCCUUUACUCGAUUAAAAAAAAAAAACAUUCAGCUCUUAAAAAAAAAAUUCCGGCGAAACUUACUCUCCACACUCGCCGGCGCAUUCUUUGCCAUCUCCGGGAUCAUCUCCGUUUUCGUCGUCGCCGGCGAUUUCUUUGCCUUCUCUGUGGUCGGCGCCAUCGUGUCCAAAGUCACUUGAAUCUUCUUCAAUCACCGUCGUGACCACUCAUCUCAACCUCCCUUCCUUCUCCGCCACCAAAACCGCCAAGGUCCGUCUUAAUUUCUUAGAAUUCAUAUUACUUGUAGAGAGGAUUCAAUUUCUUGACUCUUAAUUUUAAGGGAUUGCAUGUAGACUUAAUAACUCAUCUAGCUCUUUGAUUCAUUUUAAUGUAUUUGUGUUUGUGUUUGAAAUUAUAGAUUAAGACAUAGUUAGAUGAAUUUCGUUUUUCAUACUUGUAAUUUAGGGCCUCAAUUUUGGGUUUAAGGUUUGAUUUUAACUUGGGCAUCUUAGUCUUUGAAAGCUUUAGUUUUUUACGCAUAAGAAGCUUUAGUUGAUUUGAAGGUUUAUCUUGUUUAUACAUUUGGUGUUUAUAUGUUUGGGAUCUCGUCAUGAUGUCUUUGAUUGUCACAAUUUUCUGGUUUAUUUCUCCUUUAAGUGGCUCUUUCUUCAUCUCCUUGCUUACAAGCAAAUCUCUCACAGCUUGACUCGAAUGUGUCGUCGUUAACAGAGAACAUCAGCCACUGAACAAUAUCUCUUCAUUGUUUUUUAUCUAUAUUAUAUCUGUGGUGUAGCUUCUUAAUGGAAACCGAUGAAGGCAUCACGAACAUUAAUAAGGAGUAUCCGAAGCGCUUAUUCAGACAUGGUAGAGAGCCUCUUGUUGGAAAAGUCAACAACUUCUGCAAAACAGCUCUCCUCAAGAGAAUCAAGAAAGCUAUGCCACUAGAGUAUAAGGAAGUGAAGAGUGAUCCUCUGUUUGCACAUGUCUUUGCCAUAUUUGAAAACCGUUUAGGAUACUCUGUUUGCAUAGCUUACUGUCUAGACAGUUGGUAACUAGGAAGAAACAUGAACUCUGGUUUGUGUUUGGAAACAAGCCUCUUCGAUUUUCUAUGCAAAUACCAUGAGAUGCCAAUGGAUAGAUUUUUUCAAGCGAUUUAGUGAUCGAGAAAUGCCUAUCUGACACAAAAGCUAAGUCUUCUUCAUCCGCUAUGAGUUUCUUAAGUUGUAUAAAAAACCAUUGCCAUGAAGAAUCAUUCUCGGAAUCAGCAACUCCAAAUGCAAUUGGAUACAAAUUGGAGUUACCAUCUACUGCUGUAGCUACCAACAUAACUCCUUUGUAUUUGCUUUUCAAAAACGUACCGUCAACCACAAUCACUUUCCGAAUAGGCUUGUAAAACCCUCUAAUAGACUGACCGAAAGAUAUAAAUAGAUAUUUGAAUCUAUUCUCACCAUC